UUGUGGUUCCACCCUCAGCCCUGGGGGCGACUCCAAAGCGACAUUCACCAUCCUUGUGUAACUGGACCUGCAGGAGACCCCAGAUGGGCCCUGACAAACAACACCUAGCUUCAUAGUUUAAGCUUGCACUCUGAAAUUCUAAUUUACAUGGAGAAAAAUCUUUUCUUUGACCAUGAUUCCUAAAGGCACCAGGGAAACUAGAGCUGAGUUGUGGUGGAACAAUGAAUGAAGUGCUAAAAAAUGUUCCCGAACUCUCCCGAUUGGUAUUUGCUACUCCAGAAACCACUCCCUAGUCUGAGAAACCAGUUGUGAAAUAGAACAAGGAAACUAGAACAUCUGAGGGCACUCCCUUGAGAGCUUAUAUUCUGAUGCUCUUCCUGCUCUCCUGCCUCCUGCCCCACCCGCGUUGCUGGUGACCCUGAGAAGUUAGGGCUGGGUUCUGCCCAUGAAUCACACCAAAGGCCACCAUGAAGACAGGCACCAUCUUUGUUCUGGUGUGGCUUUCAUCGUCACAGGGUUGGAGGUGGCCUGGGCUCAGAGACCACCUUUGAAAGGAUGACAGAGAUCUGGCUUCUGCCCAAAAUUGCCCAAAGGUACCAUGAGGCCUUGUGUGAAAAUGUGCACAGGACAUGAAUCAUGUCCCAGUGGAAUGAAAUGUUGCAGCAAUGGGGUGGCCCUGGUGGCCGUGACAAAGCUGGACCUGAUGUUGAUUGAGCCUGCCUGGAGACCAGCCCCCAAAAGUUGCUCAGGAAUCUAUGAAUUCGAAGCUGGGCAUAACAACAAGACCUCCACAUCCACUCCUGCCUACUUCCUGUCCCUGGAGUUGGAGCCCUAGAAGAUGAAGCUGUAAAAUGGUGGAACAAUGGCUUUCUAAACAGCUUGUAUCCUAAAGAAACUCUAUCUGUGGCAUUCUUUGGGUUGUGUGGUUCUUUCCACUUAGGCAUUCUG